UUACAAAAAUAUUUUGCAGAGCAGGAGUUUAAAAUUAACUAAUCAACCACCUCUGUGUUCAGGGGAGCGCUUAUUAAUGAUCACAAAAAUAAAUAUCAAGCCUGAUAUUAGGUUUAAUAUCGUAACGGACUGAAUGUUA